CGAUCCUUGUGAGACCCUCGGACCGGUCCCCGGCGCCCGUUUCGGCGGGCGCGCGGCGGGCCAGAAAGACGGUCGAACUUGAUCAUUUAGAGGAAGUAAAAGUCGUAACAAGGUUUCCGUAGGUGAACCUUCGGAAGGAUCAUUAACGUUCGAGAAACGCGGCUCGAUUCGU
rnacentral:rRNA from 1 species